rnacentral:rRNA from 1 species
GACGAACGCUGGCGGCGUGCCUAAUACAUGCAAGUUGAGCGCUGAAGGUUGGUACUUGUACCCACUGGAUGAGCAGCGAACGGGUGAGUAACGCGUGGGGAAUCUGCCUUUGAGCGGGGGACAACAUUUGGAAACGAAUGCUAUACCGCAUAAAAACUUUAAACACCAGUUUUAAGUUUUAAAGAUGCAAUUGCCUCACUCAAAGAUGGUCCCGCGUUGUAUUAGCUAGUUGGUGAGGUAAAGGCUCACCAAGGCGAUGAUACAUAGCUGACCUGAGAGGGUGAUCGGCCACAUUGGGACUGAGACACGGCCCAAACUCCUACGGGAGGCAGCAGUAGGGAAUCUUCGGCAAUGGACGAAAGUCUGACCGAGCAACGCCGCGUGAGUGAAGAAGGUUUUCGGAUCGUAAAACUCUGUUGGUAGAGAAGAACGUUGGUGAGAGUGGAAAGCUCAUCAAGUGACGGUAACUACCCAGAAAGGGACGGCUAACUACGUG